AGUGAACGCUGGCGGUAGGCCUAACACAUGCAAGUCGAACGGCAGCACAGGAGAGCUUGCUCUCUGGGUGGCGAGUGGCGGACGGGUGAGGAAUACAUCGGAAUCUACUUUUUCGUGGGGGAUAACGUAGGGAAACUUACGCUAAUACCGCAUACGACCUACGGGUGAAAGCAGGGGAUCUUCGGACCUUGCGCGAUUGAAUGAGCCGAUGUCGGAUUAGCUAGUUGGCGGGGUAAAGGCCCACCAAGGCGACGAUCCGUAGCUGGUCUGAGAGGAUGAUCAGCCACACUGGAACUGAGACACGGUCCAGACUCCUACGGGAGGCAGCAGUGGGGAAUAUUGGACAAUGGGCGCAAGCCUGAUCCAGCCAUACCGCGUGGGUGAAGAAGGCCUUCGGGUUGUAAAGCCCUUUUGUUGGGAAAGAAAUCCAGCUGGUUAAUACCCGGUUGGGAUGACGGUACCCAAAGAAUAAGCACCGGCUAACUUCGUGCCAGCCGCCGCCGUAA
rnacentral:rRNA from 1 species